AGCGUUAUCCGGAAUCAUUGGGUUUAAAGGGUCCGUAGGCGGUCUAAUAAGUCAGUGGUGAAAGCCCAUCGCUCAACGGUGGAACGGCCAUUGAUACUGCAAGACUUGAAUUACUAGGAAGUAACUAGAAUAUGUAGUGUAGCGGUGAAAUGCUUAGAUAUUACAUGGAAUACCAAUUGCGAAGGCAGGUUACUACUAGUGGAUUGACGCUGAUGGACGAAAGCGUGGGGAGCGAACAGG
rnacentral:rRNA from 1 species